rfam:Nitrospinae bacterium RIFCSPLOWO2_02_39_17 rifcsplowo2_02_sub10_scaffold_989, whole genome shotgun sequence.
GCGCCUGUAGCUCAGUUGGAUAGAGCAACGGACUUCUAAUCCGUAGGUCGUAGGUUCGAAUCCUAUCAGGCGCG